GUGGACUCUGGCCUUGGCCAGCCCAGAAAGGGGCUCCCACAGUGCAGCCGUGGGCUGAAGGGCUCCUCAAGUGCCGCCAAAGUGGGAGCCCAGGCAGAGGAGUCGCCGAGAGCGAGCGCGGGCUGUGAGGACUGCCAGCACGCUGUCACCUCUCAAUAACGCCCAUCCCAACGUUUCCUGAGGAAUAAUUUUGGUCGUGUUCCUGCUACUCAGCUUUUCGUGGUUCCUGCUCAUUUUCAGAGUCUAACAUUCCAGCUUUUCCGGAAAUUCUUCUGCAGUGGGGAGAAGUGGUGAGGUGGUCACACACAUUCUGGUCCAUGUCCCUACCAAGUUUCUACUCUUCUUCCCACAAGGCUGCCUCUGACUUGAGGGUUCAAG
rnacentral:lncRNA from 10 species